UACGGAGGAUGCAAGCGUUAUCCGGAUUUAUUGGGUUUAAAGGGUGCGCAGGUUGCUUGAUAAGUCAGUGGUGAAAGUCUGUCGCUUAACGGUAGGAUUGCCAUUGAUACUGUUGGACUUGAAUAUGGAUGAGGUAGGCGGAAUGUGUAGUGUAGCGGUGAAAUGCAUAGAUAUUACACAGAACACCGAUUGCGAAGGCAGCUUACUAAUCCAUCAUUGACGCUGAGGCACGAAAGCGUGGGGAUCAAA
rnacentral:rRNA from 1 species